GUACCCAUAGCUCAGUUGGUUAGAGCAUUACACUUUUAAUGUAAGGGUCCUGCAUUCGAGUUGCAGUGGGUACA
rnacentral:tRNA from 1 species